rnacentral:rRNA from 1 species
AUGCCCGCAAAAGAUUUGGAGGAAAUUAAGAAGCAGAUCAAGGAGUUACUGGAUAAAGGCUAUAUUCGCCCAAGUUCGUCACCUUGGGGAUCACCAGUACUUCUAGUGGAGAAGAAAGAUGGAUCACUGAGGAUGGUUGUUGAUUACCGUGGAUUGAAUGAAGUGACCAUCAAAAACAAGUACCCACUGCCGAUGAUCAAUGAUUUGUUUGACCGCCUACAAGGAGCUAAAGUAUUUUCCAAGAUCGAUCUACGAUCGGGAUACCAUCAGUUAAAGAUUCGAGAGCAGGAUAUACCUAAGACGGCUUUUACCACCAGAUAUGGAUUGUAUGAGUAUACCGUUAUGUCAUUUGGUCUGACUAACGCACCUGCCUAUUUCAUGAACCUGAUGAACAAGGUGUUUAUGGAGUUUUUGGAUAAGUUCGUCGUGGUGUUCAUUGAUGAUAUUUUAGUCUUUUCCAAGAAUGAGGAAGAGCAUGAGGAGCAUUUACGAUUGGUACUUGAGAAGCUCAGAGAACAUCAGUUAUAUGCCAAGUUCAGCAAAUGCGAAUUUUGG